rnacentral:rRNA from 1 species
UGGGGAAUUUUUCCGCAAUGGGCGAAAGCCUGACGGAGCAAUGCCGCGUGGAGGUGGAAGGCCUACGGGUCGUCAACUUCUUUUUCUCGGAGAAGAAACAAUGACGGUAUCUGAGGAAUAAGCAUCGGCUAACUCUGCGCCAG